UACGUAGGGGGGCAAGCGUUGUCCGGAUUUAUUGGGCGUAAAGAGCGGUGUAGGCGGCUAGAUAGGUCCGUUGUGAAAACUCGAGGCUCAACCUCGAGACGUCGAUGGAAACCAUCUGGCUAGAGUCCGGAAGAGGAGAGUGGAAUUCCUGGUGUAGCGGUGAAAUGCGCAGAUAUCAGGAAGAACACCCGUGGCGAAGGCGGCUCUCUGGUAACGUGACUGACGCUGAGACGCGAAAGCGUGGGGAGCAAACAGG
rnacentral:rRNA from 1 species